GCCUAAUGUACCACAAACAGUCAUUAAAGAUGAAUGAAGAAUAAACACCAACCUCCUUGUUCCUCGCGUUUUAUUCCUCGCGUUUCUGGUUCCUCCUGUUUUAUUGUGCAGGUUUCUGGUUCCUCGUGUUUUAUUCUCCAGGUUUCUGGUUCCUCUUGUUUUAUUGUGCUGGUGUCUGGUUCACUCGUGUUCUCUUCUCUCUCCUCUUUCACAAACUCCAUCUUCACAGCAGCAGAUCUCAGUUCAGAUGAUAAACUACUCCAGAUAUUCCUGCUCGCUUCAAAACUCAGUCACGAAUAUGAAGAAGAGAAUAUUACAGUCUGGCAUGAACGGCUCGAAUAUUUCCUGCUUCAAAUGAAGGCCCCCCUUUUGAAAUAUGAAAUGUGCUGUGAUUGGUAAGCUGGGCCUUCAGGGCUCCCUUGGACCUCCGGACCCUCGGUGUCACCCUGGCUCUGCGACUGCUCUGCUCCAUCUUGGGCUCCUCACCCACCGGCGCAGUCUCCAUCUGUCGGCCCCCUGGUGUUGUCGUCUUCUCCUCCACCAUGUAUCCUCCCGCCGUCGACUCCACAGUGGAUCUUCAUCCUGGCUGGUCUCUGGAGCACCAUCUGGCUCCUCCUGCUCCGGGCUCCUCCGUGGCUCCUCCCUCCAUCCACUCCACCCUGUUUCCAUGCUCCAUGCUCCCUCUUUGGCUGCCCCUUGCCUGCCCCAUGCCCGCCUCCAGAACCCCCACCCUCCCUCCGCUGGUAUUCCUCUUGCAGUGCGAGGACGCACCGUUCCGGGAGGGGGCGAACUGUUACGUACAUAGAGUUUGAGUUCCCUUAAUUGGUAUUUUUCCUGUUCUUGUUUGGUUGAUUUGAUUAAUCCCCACCUGUCUCCAUUUCCCUGAUUACCUCCCGUGUUCUUAAAUACCCUGUCUUUUUAGUUCCUCCUCCUCCGUGAUUACGUUUGUAUAUUGUGUUAUGUUGGAUGUGCCCUUAUUCUCCUGCGAUUAUUAAAAGUACCCUUUUGUAU